rnacentral:ncRNA from 1 species
ACUCGGGCGGAGGGGGGCGUGCAGUGAAUGCGGCGUGCUUGGCCGGCGGGCGUGGCCGACGGGAUGUGACCUCCACCCAGGGCAUGGCCGUCGCCUUGGCCUCGAGCCCUGCAGCCGCCGCGCCGUGCGGGAAUGAAUGCCCGUCGCACGCCCUAACGCCGAGCCUUGGAAGCAAGUCUUAUGUUUAGUUACGGAAAGUGAUCUGUGACCGCGUGCCUGUUGAAGAAUGAGUCGGCGACUCAUAGGCAGUGGCUUGGUUAAGGGAAUGGAACCCACCAGAGUCGUAGCGAAAGCGAGUCUUAAUAGUAUCAUUGCUUGUGGAUCCGAACCUAGUUGAUCUAUCCAUGACCAGGAUGAAGCUUGAAAGAAACUGAGCAGAGGUCCGAGUCAAUUGAUGUUGAAGAAUUAGCGGGUGAGUUGUGGUUAGGAAUGAAAUGUCAGUCUAACCUAGAGCUAGAUGGUUCUCGCCGAAAUGCGUUGAGGCGCAGCAGCUGUCUGGAUAUAAUUUUGGCGUGGGCUGCACGAGCCGCAGGUAGUAGUAUGAAAUAAAGCUAAGCCAUGAGCAAAACGCAUUUGUCCGGCAGGGGAGUUCAGGGGCAUCUCUGUUUUGUUUGUAGGUGCAUGACAGAUCGGAUCCUCGUCGCGUGAACGGGUUCCAUCAGACGAAUAAUCUUGCUGGGAGGCAUCCGUUGGUCCAUCUCAUGGUUGAUACCCCUGGCGACGAACCCAAUGCCCCCACUCGCGACAGUGCAAGUGCAAGUGAACAAACUUUUAGUGCCACGACCCGCAACGUCGGACUUAUACGACGCAGAAUCGACCAUCAAAUCUGGAUGCAGUGACUUUUCAGCCCUCUGCUGGGAAAUUCUGCUGUGGUGUGACCAACCUGCCCGAGUAGAACCCACCCACGGAUGGAUCCUAGUUGGCAAUUGGCACCCACGAAGUCGCCCACUGGGCUGUGUGACGGCGGGACGGGAGGGAUGAGUGGUGGCCACUGACGUCGUACUACAACAUGUGCCAUGUCGCACAGCACAAACCAUGGUAUCGUGCACGACCUAAAAAAUCCUCGGCUGAUUAGGCCCCUCCCGGCUGCAGGUUAUGUUUUCACAAUCAUGCGCAUUAAUUCCCUUCCCUCAUCGUCGCUGCUAGUAUAAUCUUUAUCGCCUCCCUAUAAAAGCACGGCUUCUCUUGUCUGGGGGCGAAGAGUGCGAGAACCACUAGUGCCACCAGCUCUCUCCAUAGCCGAGCAGAGAAAGCCUGCGGCACAUUGUUCCUCGGUCACAUCAAAACCUUAUCGUCGUCGCUGCUUUCGCAUCUCGCGGCUUCAUCGGACGCGAUAGCAUUCCGCACGCGUUGGGCUCGGAAGAUCGCCGCCCCCGUCCUCACCGCAGGCGCAG